UCAAAGGACAGGCUUAUAAAUCUUUAAGUAUUUACAACAACGAAUAUUCACAAAUUCUGAAAUGUUUAACCAUUGUGUUUCACCAGGAAUUGAAAUCUUUUAAGCAAGAGUUUUUCUCUUCCAACACUCUAGAACAGAACAUCCUAUCCUCGUUUUAUCAAAAUUCAAAUUCAAACCAACUCUACAAGGCUAGAGAGAGCAGACAGCAGGCAACAGACACAUACAGUCACCAGUCUCCUGGGUCUCAGUUGAAUGAAUACCUGUGAAAUCACCAGUGCUUGAGAAACGCUGCCUCAAG